UUUUUUUUUCUUUUUUUUUUUUUUUUGGUCUUUUUAAGGCUGCACUUGCAGCAGGCGUAUGGAAGUUCCCAAGCUAGGGGUCGAAUUGGAGCUACAGGUGCAGGUCUAUGCCACAGCCACAGCAACUGGAGAUCCUUAACCCACUGAGUGAGGCUAGGGAUCAAGCCUGAAUCCUCAUGGAUACUAGUCAGGUUCUUAACCUGCUGAGCCACAACAGGAACUCCACUUUUGUCUGUUUCUGAACUUGGUAUACGUAGAACUAUUCAGCCAUCUGAGUGUGAGGAUUUCAGUUCUGUGUCACUGUGUGUUGCAAGUGAUUGUUUGAUUUCAUUGCUAAGUACACCACAAUAUAUUCAUCCAUUCCACCGCUAGUGGAAAUGUGGGUUGUUUCCAGCCUUUGGCUGCUAUCACUGGAUAGGUCUGAGCAGUUUUGUCCAUGACCUCAGUGCACAUGAGUAUGUGUUUCUGGAGUGCCCUGGUGGCUUAGCAGGAUCUAGUGUUUCACUGCUGUGGAUUGGGUUGGUGCUGUUGAGGGGGUUCAAUCCCUGGCCCGGGAACUUCCACAUGCUGCAGGUGUGGCUGGAAAAAAAAGAGAGUAUGUGUUUCAGUUGAGUGUGUGCAGAGGGGUCCAGAAAUGCUGGGCCAUAGGAUACACAAUGCUCAGCGCUUAACCCUGCCAAACAGCCUUCCAAAGUGACAGUACAAUUCGCACCCCUACUAGCCUGUGGAUGGCAGUUGCAGGUGAUCUACGUGCUCUCCUGCACUCAGUACUGUUAGCCUGUUCAUUUCAGCCACUCUGGUGGGUGUGUAGUGGUGUCUCCUGGGGGUUUCAGUUUAUAGUGCAGCUCAUAUUCACUGGCCACUCGUAUAAUCCCUUUUGUGAAGUGCCUGUCCAAAUCUUUGGCUUAUUUCUUCUAUUGGGUCAUUAAUGUUUUGUGGAAUAUUUUUUCAUGUAUUCUGGAUACAAGUCUCUUAUCAGGUUUAUGAUUUGUAAAUACCUUCUCCCACUCUUUUAGCUUGCUUUUCCACUUUCUUAAUGGUAUCUCUUUUAAGUUGCUUGGUUAAGACCAAUCUUAACCUUGGUCUUUAGUGCUUUUUGUACUGUAUUUGAGAAAAUUUGUUCACGUGAAAGAUCAUGAAAGUAUGCUUUUAUGCUACCUUUAGAAGUUUUCUUGUUUUAACUUUCUGCAUUUAGGUCUACAAUCAGCCUGAUUUAAUUUUUGUGGCUGGUAUGUGUGUGGGGGGGGUCAAAAUUCAUUUUUUAAAAUAUGAACAUAUAAUUGACCCAGCAGAGUUUAUGAAAAGGCCACCCAUCUUGUCCUCACUGCUCAGUAGUGUCCUUUUUGUCACAAAUCAAGUGACUGCAUAUGUGUGGUCUGUUUUCUAAAGCUCCCUUUUCUGUCCCAUUGGUCUGUUUGUUUACGCUUAUAUAAAUCUUACAGUGUCUUGUUUACUAAACCUUCAGAAAAAGUCUUGACAAAUGUUCUUAUUCAAGAUUGUUUUGGUCCUUUAAUUUUCCAAAUAAAUUAGAGAAUAACAUUCAUUCUGAAAAUAAAAUAAACAAAAUUCUACUGGAAUUUGUGCUGAAGUUGCAGUGGCUCUCUAGAUCAAUUUGGAGAGAAAUGACACUUAAUUUAAAAGUAUUGUCUUUAUUCCAAAAACAUUUGUUUAGGACCCUUUUAAUUUUUCUCAAUAACAACUUUAAAGUUUUCAGUUAUAUUGCAUGAGAUUUAUUUCUCUGUGUUUUUUAGAAAACUUUUUAGGGGAGCAGUUUUAGGUUCACAGCAAAAUUGAGAAGAUGGUACAGAGAUUUCCUACAAGCUUCUGUCCCCACACAGGCUCAGCCUCACCAUGAUCAACCACCACCCUGCCAGAGUGACAGAGAUGUCACAAUUCCUGAGCCUAGAUUGGCAAGUCAUUAUCACCCAACGCUCAUGGUUUACAUCAUGGUUCAUUCUACCAACAUGGUUACAUUCAUGGUUCACGGUACAUCAUUCAUGGGUGUUGUACAUUCUAUGGAUUUGGACAAAUGUAUAAGGACAUGUAUCUGCCAUUAAUAGUAGCUUGUAGAAUAUUUUCACUGCCCUAAAAAUCCUCUGGGCCCCAUCUAGUCUCUAUAUUUUUGAGCUCUGAUUUAAAAAAAAAAAUUUUUUUAUAUGUUUAAAAAUUUUUUUUGUACUCAUGUUGCAACAGAAGAAAGGCUGGGGGAAAAAUGUAAUUGUAAUGUAUACAUGUAAGGAUAACCUGACCCCCUUGCUGUACAGUGGGAAAAUAAAAAAAAAAAAAAUUUUUUUUUGGCUGCACCCACAACAUGUGGAAGUUUUGGGCCAGGGAUUCACCCCUUCACUGCAGCAGUGGGCUGCCACAGUGACAACACUGGAUCCUCUAACCUGCAACCCCACAAGAGAACUCUCUAUUCUCUGUAUUUUUGGUGCUAUUGUAAAUUGUAGCACUUAAAUUUUUUAUUUUUCAUUUGUCAUUAUUUAAAACAAUGAGUUCUCUUAAGUUGAUUUAACAACCCCUCUGCAUUGUGGUUGAUGCUACCAAUUUGUGCAUUAAAGUCAUCAUUUGCAGUAGAGAGUAUUUUCAGUCUAUUUUCUCUGUUCUUCAGACCAUGUGAUAUUUUUUGUUUAUUUCUCAGUUUCACUGAUUCUAUCUUUGGUCAUAACCAUUCUACAAUUUAGCUCAUCCAUGGAUGAGCUUUAAUUUCUUUUAUUGUAUUCAUCAGUUCAAUACUUUCCAUUUUUAAAUAACUUUUCUUUGCUGACAUUUUUCUGUUUUUCCAUUUCAUUUCAAGAGAAUUUGUGAUUGUUUUCUGAAGCACUUUUACAGUGGUUGCUUUACAGUCUUUGACAGAUGCGUUGACAGAUGUUGGUGUCAGCUAAUUGUCUUCUCAUUUAUGUUAUUUUCUUGAUUCUUAGUAUGAUGUGUAGUAUUUUUUAAUUGUAUAUAGGUGUCUUUCCUUUUAGGUUGGAAGACUCUGGGUCUUAUUUGAAUUUUUUUUUUCUUUUUAUGCCUGUACCUGCCUCAUAUGGAAGUUCCUGGGCUAGGGGUUGAAAUACAGCUGCAGCUAUAUGCCUGCACCACAGCUUGCAGCAACACCAGAUCCUUAACCCACUGAGCAAGGCCAUGGAUCAAUCCCUCACAGAGACAAUGUUGGGUCCUUAAUUCACUGAGCCACAAUGGGAACUCCUCUCUCAAUAACUUUUGAAUGAAAUAACUCAUUGAAGAAAUAAUUGGUGAGUCCAUCUUGAAUAUAAUUCAUUAAUCUAAAUAUAGCCAGGCUGUAAAAAAAGAAGCAAAUCACAGACUCUUAGAAUUGGUAGAAUCUUAAGCCCAAUCUACCCCCCUUCACAAAGGAAGCUUUUCCACAGAGCACCCACCCCUACACAUGGACAGCCUACUUACACGAUGCCACGGGGUUGUUGGAAUUGUUCAAUUAGCGGCCUCAUUGUUGCACUCUGGGCAGAGAUAUUCAAGGAACACUUCACAGAUCCAUCAUAUAGAGCUAGGGAGAAAGAAGCAAAGAAAGAUGGGUGUGGCCUAUGGAUUAAAACGGCACAUGUGGAGAAGAAAGCAAAGCAAGUGACUUUUUUAAACAUACAUUUUCACCCCUUCUCAAUGCAAAAAAAAAAAAAAAAAAAAAAAAAAAAGGAGGCAGAAACCUGUUGUCUAAAGCAGGAAAUAGAAGAAAUACUGGCUGAGAAACUGCCCACUUGGCAUUGAUGAGCCCCAGCUGGCCCUCUGGCCCUACUCCUAUUUUAAGUUUAUGACGUACAGUCAAGCAUUCCUUUUCCGCACCUGAAAGAAUGACUUCAGUCCAGACUGGGUCCGUAUUAGAAGGGGUGGAGUUAUUUUUAGACCUGGGCACAUGAUCUGCCUCAGCUGAAUCUCAGGAUCCUUCAAGGAAGUGGAAGGAUGACUCUUUGACUAACAUCCCACUCGGGGUCCUAUCAAAGGGAACCCUCUUUUUCAGUUUGUUAGUAUGGAACCAGUUGUCACGGCCAAGGAUGGCUCUUGGUUUCCCCACCGCUGGUCACAGACUGCACUGUGAGCCCCCCGUACCGGAUUAUAUCCACCUUGCCAGUGGCAGUGAGCCCCCAUGCCAAGCUGUUCCUUUCCUCACUGGCUUGCCUUCUCUGGGAAGCAUAAGAACACAGCUAGAUCCUGGGAGUCUGGAUCCUGGAUUCUAUUGCUUACAAGCUGUGUCUAUGGGCAGAUCACUUCUUGGGGACUCAUUUCCCCAUCUACAUAAAUAAGGCUAGUAAUUUAAGAUUAUAAGGAUUCAGUAGAAAAAUGUAGGUAAAAGGCAACCCAUGGUGCUGGCAGCAGAGAGGGCUCAAUAAAUUCUAGUUAGUAGUAGUAGUAGUGGUAGAAGUGCUCCAAGUACUUUUAUGUGUUUUUUUCAUUUGAUCUGAUAAGAAUCUAAACAGAGAUGGGUUACUGUCCCCAUACGGUAAAUAAAAGCAGUGAAGUUCAGGAGUUCCCUUCACGGCUCAGUGGAAACGAAUCUGACAGGUAUCCAUAGGAUGCAGAUUCAACCCCUGGCCUUGCUCAGUCAGUUAAGGAUCUGGAGUUGCCUUGAGCUGUGGUGUAGGUCGCAGACACGGCUCGAAUCCCGAGUGGCUGUGGCUGUGGCAUAGGCCAGAGGCUACAGUUCUGAUUAGACCCCUAGCCUGGGAACUUCCAUAUGU
ensembl:lncRNA